rnacentral:rRNA from 1 species
GGGCCCGCACAAGCGGUGGAGCAUGUGGUUUAAUUCGAUGAUACGCGAGGAACCUUACCAGGGCUUAAAUGUAGAACGACCGAUUUGGAAACAAGUCUUCUCUUUGAGCGGUCUACAAGGUGCUGCAUGGUUGUCGUCAGCUCGUGCCGUGAGGUGUCGGGUUAAGUCCCUUAACGAGCGCAACCCCUAUCUCUAGUUGCCAGCGGAUAAUGCCGGGGACUCUAGAGAAACUGCCCGUGCAAACGGUGAGGAAGGUGGGGAUGACGUCAAAUCAUCACGGCCCUUACGUCCUGGGCUACACACGUGCUACAAUGGUCGGUACAGAGGGCAGCUACCACGUGAGUGGAUGCAAA